ensembl:lincRNA Gm42562 predicted gene 42562
GGUUCCCCAGCAGGACACGGAGUGCGAGUUAUGAUGCCCUGGGAUGAUCAGGAGCCCUGAAGUGUGUGAGUUGAGUGCUGAGAUGCUGCCUAGAAACUCAGGCUUAAAUCAGAAAUCUCCAAUGAGCUCCCAGGUCAGCGUCCCAUCCAGAUCCUCCGGGUAAAAGUAGUGGCCGAAGUCCUUGGCAGCAUUCUGGAAGCAGUACUCUACAGGGGAAGGGAUGGCAGCUAGAGUCAGCCAGGACUCUCCCUGGACCACUGUUUACCAUCACACUUCAUCUGCUCCUGCUGCUCACAGUUCUGAGGGCCNNNNNNNNNNNNNNNNNNGGUCGAAGCUGAAGGUUAGAGAGUCCUCAUCCACCGUGGUGAAGUUACCAUUGUAGCACAGUAUGUGGUCUGCCAGAAAUAAAGGAGGAGAAAAACAC